AUGACAGCUUAACUUGAUGCUAGUCAAGACCAGAGCUGUCCUGUCUGAGCCACAUGUUCCUACCCUGUGUCUCCCUGCUCCUCCAGUGGGAUGAGAUAGGUCAGGGAGGCUGGACAGGAGCCAGGGCCAUAGUGGGGACAGAGGAGCACAGGAGCCCCACUUACACAGGUCCAAGCACAGCAGAACUGGUGCCUGCCUGUCAUGUCCCUUGACAGAAAACUGAGGGUUGAAAACAUCUGGGCCUGAUUAGCAGCCAUCAGCCUAGGGCCCACAAAAGCCAUGGCUCAGGCCUGGAGCACCAUUAACAUCUGGAUUUGGAGGCAAUUUCACCAACUUAUUGGAGGUAAAUCUGAGGAGCUGGAGCACCUUCUGCCCACUGUGCCUUAGUUUCCUUCUUCAUGAAAUGAGAAGAGUUCUGAGACUCUGAGAGACUGCGGGGAUCUGAGAUCCUGGGAAAUAGUAAAACACACCAGCUGACAUACGAGCGAGAGCCUACAUUAAGACAACAGCAACUGAAGCAUCAGGAAAGUCAACAUCACUAUAUAUAACAUUAAGAAAUCUUCUGUUUGAUGAUGCACAUUUACCACUCCAAGAAGUGCCUUAGGGAAAUACAAUCACAUCUGAAGGGGGAAUAGUACUAGGUGGGUGGGCUUCAAAAAAGCACUGCUCUGCAUGAUGUCCAGUAGGAGAAUCCCUUUCAAAAACAGUGAGAUGGAUGAGCUGUCAUCAACCCACUUCAUUCCCUGCUUUGCAUGACACUCAUAAAAUGGGCAGAGGACAGUUUUGGUUUGUUCAACGCACAAUAAAAAUGCACAAAAGGUGAUUGACAUGAAGAAACUGCAAGUGUGGUAAGCUAAACAUAUGCUUCUGGAAGCACUGAUCUACUAGAAUAACUCAGGCGUGUGUAUCCUCUAGCUGCUGAAAGACUAACUACCACUUUAAAACAAUUGAAAUCCCUAUAUAUUGUGAGCAUAAGCUCUUAAUUAAUUUGCCAUAUUACAUGUAUCAACAACUAGACAGAAAUGGAGCUUAACAGUAAUUUAUCUUCAAUCAUGUUUUGAAGCCAACACAAAUAUUUCUACAUUUCACCCUGCUUUUGACUCACUCUAAGUAGAAGCAAAAGGGCCCAAACCACUGCUGAUGUGAGUGUCAUAAAAGGUGUAACCUGGCUUAAAUCAGUACCAUUGACUCUUCUUGUAUCAGCAAUAAACUGGGAUCUCUGUCUUCACUCAUGACACUGCAAUCGAGUGAAUUUGAUGUAAGAAUAGUGAUGGAUGAACUCACGAGGCUCUCGCCCUUUCAUGAGGUGUCACAGGCACCAGGCUUGCACGGUCCCAAGGCUGCAUUUCGAGUGCUAGGCAGGGACAUUCUCCCCUGCCUGCUAUGGAACACCGGCUCUCACCAAACUGCUCUCCGACCAAAUACCCAUGCACCACCGAGGUGCUCCCACUUCUCCUGAACCCACAGUGGAACAGGAGCCUCUGCUCUGGGCUGACAGCAGCUCCUGCCCAUUACACAAUCCAUUGAGGGAGCACGUCUCCAGCUGGGUUUCUCCAUGCGUAGGACACACUCAUUAAAGGUACUAGAGGUGACAUGGAACAGAAAAGAUUAAAAACAAAACAAACUACAAUACCAUCACCUUCACACACACAUGCACAAAAAACCAAAACAACAAAGUAAACAAGAAACUAAAAAUAAAAAGAGCAUGUGCAGGAAUAAAGGAUUCCCCUGUUUGUUCUGUCCAGGCUUUUGUGUUGAGAUUUUCACCAAGAACCUUACCAGGGUUUUGUGCUGAUGAACACAGGCACCACAUACUUUGACUUGGCCAUUGCAUUAGCCUUAUACCACCAGGGCUCUUAGCCUAGACUUGACUUGAGCAGGUAAAUGAGGAACUUCCUCUAGCUUUUGCCAUUGACCUCCGUACAAAUAUUAGUAAGGCAACUCCAAAAUCCAGAUGCUCAGACCUGAGGAAUGGUUACUGAAGGGCAGCUUUCUUCAAGAUUCAAGUGGAAGGAGAGACAAUCUUUCUGAGACAGCUGGUCCAUAUUUGUAUGCUCCAGUUUAUUCAGUCUUCCUCUGAUUAUUUCAUGAGCUCUUCACUUUUCUAAUGAGUGUAGUCCCACAACUCCCCAAGCAUGCACACUACACAGCCUGUCCCCAAAAAUUAACUCCUUCUGCCUUUUAUAAAGCUCCCUCGCAAACAGACUGCUCCACACUGUACACACACAUCCAUGUAACUAACACAAUUUGCCAAUUUGCCAAAGGGUAAAAAACUCUAAGCUCCCUUUAUUUGUCUUGCUGCUGAGUGAUCUCAACCCCAGUGACUAAGAGUCAAGCAGCGAGCUGAGGGGAGGUGCCAUGCUGCAGCUCUACUCACCUCAGCUGCAAGCAGCAGAGCUGCCAUCUUGCU